rnacentral:sRNA from 1 species
GCUGGGUGUGGUGGCACAUGCCCGUAAUCCCAGCAGCUUGGGAGGCUGAGGCAGGAGGAUCACAAGUUCAAAGCCAGCUUCAGCAAAAGUGAGGUGCUAAGCAACUCAGUGAGACUCUGUCUCUA